rnacentral:rRNA from 2 species
UACAGAGGUCCCAAGCGUUGUUCGGAUUCAUUGGGCGUAAAGGGUGCGUAGGUGGCAUGGUUAGUCGGGUGUGAAAUCCCGGGGCUCAACCCCGGAACUGCACUCGAUACUGCCGUGCUGGAGUACUGGAGAGGAGACUGGAAUUUACGGUGUAGCAGUGAAAUGCGUAGAUAUCGUAAGGAAGACCGGUGGCGAAAGCUAGUCUCUGGACAGUCACUGACACUGAGGCACGAAGGCUAGGGGAGCAAACGGG